UACGUAGGGGGCUAGCGUUGUCCGGAAUUACUGGGCGUAAAGGGCUCGUAGGUGGCCAACUAAGUCAGACGUGAAAUCCCUCAGCUUAACUGGGGAACUGCGUCUGAUACUGGAUGGCUUGAGUUUGGGAGAGGGAUGCGGAAUUCCAGGUGUAGCGGUGAAAUGCGUAGAUAUCUGGAGGAACACCGGUGGCGAAGGCGGCAUCCUGGACCAACACUGACACUGAGGCACGAAGGCCAGGGGAGCAAACGGG
rnacentral:rRNA from 1 species